GAAUCUGCCUGGUAGUGGGGGAUAACGUCCGGAAACGGACGCUAAUACCGCAUACGUCCUACGGGAGAAAGCAGGGGACCUUCGGGCCUUGCGCUAUCAGAUGAGCCUAGGUCGGAUUAGCUAGUUGGUGGGGUAAUGGCUCACCAAGGCGACGAUCCGUAACUGGUCUGAGAGGAUGAUCAGUCACACUGGAACUGAGACACGGUCCAGACUCCUACGGGAGGCAGCAGUGGGGAAUAUUGGACAAUGGGCGAAAGCCUGAUCCAGCCAUGCCGCGUGUGUGAAGAAGGUCUUCGGAUUGUAAAGCACUUUAAGUUGGGAGGAAGGGCAGUAAAUUAAUACUUUGCUGUUUUGACGUUACCGACAGAAUAAGCACCGGCUAACUCUGUGCCAGCAGCCGCGGUAAUACAGAGGGUGCAAGCGUUAAUCGGAAUUACUGGGCGUAAAGCGCGCGUAGGUGGUUCGUUAAGUUGGAUGUGAAAUCCCCGGGCUCAACCUGGGAACUGCAUUCAAAACUGACGAGCUAGAGUAUGGUAGAGGGUGGUGG
rnacentral:rRNA from 1 species